AUGAACCUUUGGGACUUCACGAAGAAUUGCUUUACUGGGGUGAAGGUAACCUUGGAACGAAGAUUCCUAAAGAAGACAGGACCAGGUUAUGGUCAUCCUCCAAAGUUCAGUAGAGACCAGUGACUUUACUGUGGUUCAGAAUGCUUGUCUCUGUUUAUGUCUGUCUGAAGUGAACUCCGAUAUCUGCAUUUAUAACAAGUUCCCUCCCAGGGGGUGUUGCUGUUGCUGGUGGGUCUGCAGAGCACUCUGAGCAUGAGCCAUUAAAGAACAAGAAACAAGAGUGAGAGACACUUGAUUUUAUAGUGGCAACGGUGAUGUGAGAGUUGUUUCAGAAGAUGAAGUAAAAUUAAGGCUAGUGACUUACCUUUAUCUAUAGCUAGGUUGGUAAUUUGGAGAUUGGAGAGAAAGGACAGAGGAAAGGAUUGUAAGACAUUUCAAAAGAAGAAAGAAUGGAGAUAAAGUGGCAGAGCACAAAGAGUACAGUUUUAGACCUGUUGAAUGUGAAAUAAUAACUUCUUGUCUUGAAGGCAGUUAGAAAAAUAUAACCUGGAUCUUGGAGGAUGACUGUGGGUGUGAGUGAGGAAACAGCAGAGUAUUGAGUGGAAAAGGACCACUUUCUCCCACCUAAAGAUUUAAAAUAUCUUGAAGUAGAAUAUUAAAAUCCUUUAGUUCCUUAUCUGUCUCCAUAUAUAAAAUCCUAAUAUGCAAAUAGACCAAAUGGCAGAACAACCAGUGCUAUGACGUGUGCUGACCAUGAGGGGGUGCAUGCGGAACAUGGCGGGUGACAGCAGCAGGUGGCAAAGUGUGGAACAUGGUGGGUGUCGGCCGUAGUGGGAUGGUGGA